rnacentral:rRNA from 1 species
ACGAACGCUGGCGGCGUGCUUAACACAUGCAAGUCGAACGGAAAGGCCCCUUUGGGGGUACUCGAGUGGCGAACGGGUGAGUAACACGUGAGUAACCUGCCCUUGACUUCGGGAUAACUUCAGGAAACUGGGGCUAAUACCGGAUAGGAAUCCUUGCUGCAUGGUGGGGGUUGGAAAGCUUCGGCGGUUUUGGAUGGACUCGCGGCUUAUCAGCUUGUUGGUGGGGUAGUGGCUUACCAAGGCUUUGACGGGUAGCCGGCCUGAGAGGGCGACCGGCCACAUUGGGACUGAGAUACGGCCCAGACUCCUGCGGGAGGCAGCAGUGGGGAAUAUUGCACAAUGGGCGGAAGCCUGAUGCAGCAACGCCGCGUGCGGGAUGACGGCCUUCGGGUUGUAAACCGCUUUCAGCAGGGGCGAAGCUUGUGGUGACGGUACCUGCAGAAGAAGCACCGGCUAACUACGUG